UACGUAGGGUGCGAGCGUUGUCCGGAAUUAUUGGGCGUAAAGAGCUCGUAGGCGGUCUGUCGCGUCGGCUGUGAAAACUCGGGGCUCAACCCCGAGCUUGCAGUCGAUACGGGCGGGCUAGAGUUCGGUAGGGGAGACUGGAAUUCCUGGUGUAGCGGUGAAAUGCGCAGAUAUCAGGAGGAACACCGGUGGCGAAGGCGGGUCUCUGGGCCGAUACUGACGCUGAGGAGCGAAAGCGUGGGGAGCGAACAGG
rnacentral:rRNA from 1 species